ACUAUUGUGGUUACAUUUCGCGUGAAACAGAACGUUAACAGUGUGAAGUUUUCUUGGUCGUCAUGCUAAAGAAGUCGCCGCCAUUUAGCGCAGUGACAACUCCGCGUCUCUGUGAGAGCCACGUCUCUGCAAUGUUGAGUAAACAUUCCUCUGUAUUGCCGCAAUGCCCCCAAAGAAGAAACCUAAAACUAAGAAGAAAUAAAAGAGCACAACAAAAUUGCAGAAAGAUUAAGAUAUCAACGGCUAAAAAAUUACCCUGUAAAAA